GAUGAACGCUGGCGGCGUGCCUAAUACAUACAAGUCGAGCGAACGGACGAGAAGCUUGCUUCUCUGAUGUUAGCGGCGGACGGGUGAGUAACACGUGGAUAACCUACCUAUAAGACUGGGAUAACUUCGGGAAACCGGAGCUAAUACCGGAUAAUAUUUUGAACCGCAUGGUUCAAAAGUGAAAGACGGUCUUGCUGUCACUUAUAGAUGGAUCCGCGCUGCAUUAGCUAGUUGGUAAGGUAACGGCUUACCAAGGCAACGAUGCAUAGCCGACCUGAGAGGGUGAUCGGCCACACUGGAACUGAGACACGGUCCAGACUCCUACGGGAGGCAGCAGUAGGGAAUCUUCCGCAAUGGGCGAAAGCCUGACGGAGCAACGCCGCGUGAGUGAUGAAGGUCUUCGGAUCGUAAAACUCUGUUAUUAGGGAAGAACAUAUGUGUAAGUAACUGUGCACAUCUUGACGGUACCUAAUCAGAAAGCCACGGCUAACUACGUGCCAGCAGCCGCGGUAAUACGUAGGUGGCAAGCGUUAUCCGGAAUUAUUGGGCGUAAAGCGCGCGUAGGCGGUUUUUUAAGUCUGAUGUGAAAGCCCACGGCUCAACCGUGGAGGGUCAUUGGAAACUGGAAAACUUGAGUGCAGAAGAGGAAAGUGGAAUUCCAUGUGUAGCGGUGAAAUGCGCAGAGAUAUGGAGGAACACCAGUGGCGAAGGCGACUUUCUGGUCUGUAACUGACGCUGAUGUGCGAAAGCGUGGGGAUCAAACAGGAUUAGAUACCCUGGUAGUCCACGCCGUAAACGAUGAGUGCUAAGUGUUAGGGGGUUUCCGCCCCUUAGUGCUGCAGCUAACGCAUUAAGCACUCCGCCUGGGGAGUACGACCGCAAGGUUGAAACUCAAAGGAAUUGACGGGGACCCGCACAAGCGGUGGAGCAUGUGGUUUAAUUCGAAGCAACGCGAAGAACCUUACCAAAUCUUGACAUCCUUUGACAACUCUAGAGAUAGAGCCUUCCCCUUCGGGGGACAAAGUGACAGGUGGUGCAUGGUUGUCGUCAGCUCGUGUCGUGAGAUGUUGGGUUAAGUCCCGCAACGAGCGCAACCCUUAAGCUUAGUUGCCAUCAUUAAGUUGGGCACUCUAAGUUGACUGCCGGUGACAAACCGGAGGAAGGUGGGGAUGACGUCAAAUCAUCAUGCCCCUUAUGAUUUGGGCUACACACGUGCUACAAUGGACAAUACAAAGGGCAGCGAAACCGCGAGGUCAAGCAAAUCCCAUAAAGUUGUUCUCAGUUCGGAUUGUAGUCUGCAACUCGACUACAUGAAGCUGGAAUCGCUAGUAAUCGUAGAUCAGCAUGCUACGGUGAAUACGUUCCCGGGUCU
rnacentral:rRNA from 1 species